CAGAGGGUAGUUUAUUGAAAAUAUUAAUUUUGGGGAUUAAAGAUGAAAUUUCUUCCCCUCUGA
rnacentral:tRNA from 1 species